GACUACCGGGGUAUCUAAGCCUGUUUGAUCCCCACGCUUUCGUGCCUCAGUGUCAAUAUAGGUGUAGCCAGCUGCCUUCGCAAUUGGUGUUCUAUGUCAUAUCUAAGCAUUUCACCGCUACAUGACAUAUUCCGCUAACCUCCACAGUAUUCAAGACCUAUAGUAUCCAUGGCAGUUUCCAAGUUAAGCUCGGAGAUUUCACCACGGACUUACAGACCCACCUACGCACCCUUUAAACCCAGUGAAUCCGGAUAACGCUUGCACCCUCCGUAUUACCGCGGCUGCUGGCACGGAGUUAGCCGGUGCUUAUUCACAUGGUACCGUCAGUUGACCUAGAAAGGCCCUUUUUCGUCCCAUAUAAAAGAAGUUUACAACCCAGAGGGCCUUCAUCCUCCACGCGGCAUGGCUGGUUCAGACUUUCGUCCAUUGACCAAUAUUCCUUACUGCAGCCCCCCGUAGG
rnacentral:rRNA from 1 species